ensembl:lncRNA
AACUUAGCCAGUGCUUAAAUAUUUAGUCUCUCAACAAGGGAAAAGUGCUGCUCUAAAUAAUAGAAAUAAGUGCUGCCAAAAAAAAAAAAAAAAGAAAAAUCAGGGAAAGGAACAACACGUGGUCAAAAGGUGGGAAGGAUGUGAUCUUAGGGUGGUGGGAGAAAGCUUCUCUGAAGAGUACAUCGGAGUAGAAACUUGAAUUACGUGAAGUGAGAAAUCUAUGCGACCUUUGGGAGUUGCGUGGAGGAGGGAGAAGAAGGUUUCUGGUGGAGAACAAGGACGGUUGACAGUAUCUUUUACUUGGGCUUCAAGGUUGCAGAGUAUACACCCCCAACUCAGAGACCUGAUGGAAAGGCUGGUACUUCCCAGACCAGCUUCUGAUUUUUCUGAGGAGGAAUGUGAGUCAGGAAUAUUUGGUUGGUGCACCUUGUCUCUUUUACUAGAGGAAAAAAGUCAAAAUGUGUGGCUGAAAAUGUUUAACCAUGUACUGAUAAUAUAUCUUGAAAAAGAAACUCUAAUAUUUGUGAAAAAUCUGACCUCUUUUACGCUGUCUUCACUUCUGCACAGUUAGCUCUCCAUAGGGUUGUAUUUAUUUUAUGGCAGAAACCAGUAUUCACAAACACCCACCCCAGUGUGGAGGAAAGCAAUAGAACCCUGCAGUUUGAGAGAUCAUACAAUUUUGAUGAGGCCAGAGUCUCUGGGUGGCUCUUCCUCAACCAGGAAUGUGAUCAUCACACCAUGUGCCCGAGUCCUGUAGGAAUACCAUCAUCAACAAAACAGUCCCAAGUCUUAAAGGCAGAAAUUAUAUGUUUAGUUUGAGGGGGAAAAAGCCUAUUAGAACACAAAACUGUUUCUCUAAGGUGGUAUCAUUAGCUUGGUUAUAAGAUCUACGAAGAAGUUAAGGGAUGGUUUCUGUAAAAUUUUCUGCGCUGUAUAGGCUCAGAUUCUUGCUAUCCAAUCUCCCUUCCCUUUUCUCCCCAAAGUGUUCAAAGACUCUUCCUCUUCCAGCUCCUGGCCCUUUACUAAUCAUGAAGGGAUCUCGCCCAACCCCAAUCGAUAUCUUGUCUUCCAUUUUAGCAUCUGCUCUUAGGAGACCUGCCUGACAAGAGCAGUCUCAGAGAAAAGGUGGUGAGAUGGGAUUUGAGGACUUAUGACCUUGAGGGUAAAAUGGACACUACUCUGAAUGGUAUGUGGGGCAGAGUAAUCCCUGACAUAAGGUGACAGCUCAACUGCUAAUGAUUUUACUGGUAGUGAUCUGGGAAAUAAAUGCCCUCAGGUAUACAGUGAUUAGAGUAUUUGAAAAAUGCAGGGAACCAAAGCUUUCAAAGAUAGCAGAGUUGGCUAAGUGGUAGGUGCUGUGCAGAGAGAUGAGAAAGUGCAGAUCUUUAGCAAGCAGUUCAAGGCUAAGAGUGAGCAUGGGCAUGGCUGUGCAGGAGACAGGUGCAUAAUAGUUACAGCUUCAAAGCCACAGAGAUAUUUAAAUGUCCAGGCAAGGCAGGCCUGCUAUUCUAAGAUCAGGGCCUGGCUAGGAAAACAGACCCCGAAACAUGAGAUUAAAAACAU